GAUGAGCGCUGGCGGCGUGCCUAAUACAUGCAAGUCGAGCGAACAGAUAAGGAGCUUGCUCCUUUGAAGUUAGCGGCGGACGGGUGAGUAACACGUGGGUAACCUACCUAUAAGACUGGGAUAACUUCGGGAAACCGGAGCUAAUACCGGAUAACAUUUAGAACCGCAUGGUUCUAAAGUGAAAGAUGGUUUUGCUAUCACUUAUAGAUGGACCCGCGCCGUAUUAGCUAGUUGGUAAGGUAACGGCUUACCAAGGCGACGAUACGUAGCCGACCUGAGAGGGUGAUCGGCCACACUGGAACUGAGACACGGUCCAGACUCCUACGGGAGGCAGCAGUAGGGAAUCUUCCGCAAUGGGCGAAAGCCUGACGGAGCAACGCCGCGUGAGUGAUGAAGGGUUUCGGCUCGUAAAACUCUGUUAUUAGGGAAGAACAAAUGUGUAAGUAACUGUGCACAUCUUGACGGUACCUAAUCAGAAAGCCACGGCUAACUACGUG
rnacentral:rRNA from 1 species